AAUAUAAGGUUCAGAAAUGCUCAAAGACCUAUGUCAGCCUGAAUUCCUCUCCAUUUGCUCUCCGAAUCAGGGUGCUGUAACUGAAUGCUGAGUUGGAAAGAUGUGCACACAAUCAACUCUUCCAAGCUGACCUAGCUGGCUCCAGCACAUCACCAAGGUUCUAGAGAAGCAGCACAAUAUAAUAGAAAGAGCACGUGCUUUGG